rnacentral:rRNA from 1 species
UACAGAGGGUGCGAGCGUUAAUCGGAAUUACUGGGCGUAAAGCGCACGUAGGUGGCGACGUAAGUCGGGUGUGAAAGCCCCGGGCUCAACCUGGGAAUUGCAUUCGAGACUGCAUUGCUGGAGUACGGAAGAGGAAGGCGGAAUUCCCGGUGUAGCGGUGAAAUGCGUAGAUAUCUGGAGGAACACCGGUGGCGAAGGCGGCAUCCUGGACCAACACUGACGCUGAGGAGCGAAAGCCAGGGGAGCAAACGGG